UUGUGGAGGAGGACGCCGAAGGUGGGGCUAAUGACUGGGGUGAAGUCGUAACAAGGUAGCCGUACCGGAAGGUGCGGCUGGAUCACCUCCUAACAGGGAGACAACAAAAUGUUAAAUAUUAAUUUUGUCACCUUAGGUCGAUCGGUAUCUCACAUCCUUGAUUUAUUAAGGAUUUUAUUUCCUAAGUUUUUUCUAGGUCACACCCAUUACUUUUCCUGGGCCAUUAGCUCAGGUGGUUAGAGCGCACCCCUGAUAAGGGUGAGGUCCCUGGUUCAAGUCCAGGAUGGCCCAUAUCUCUAUGUUGGGGGUAUAGCUCAGUUGGUAGAGCGCCUGCUUUGCAAGCAGGAUGUCAGCGGUUCGAGUCCGCUUACCUCCACUGAUUACCACCUCUUCCAUAAAUUACAGAAGGGAAAUGUUUUGAGUUGUGAUCAAAUUCUGAACGAAUCUAGCUUCCUAAUCAAACUUAUUAAGAUGCUGGACUCAUUGAAUUAAUUUCAUUGUUUUCAGAGAACCUUGACAACUGCAUAGAUUAUUUUAAAGACAAUAAGCAUCUUAAAUGAUGCAGAUUUAUUAUUUGUGCGAAUGCAUUAAUAACAAUUCUAUUAAGCUGAUGCUUCAAAUUUGAAGUUAUUGGUCAAGCUACAA
rnacentral:misc_RNA from 1 species